GAAAGCCACGGCUAACUACGUGCCAGCAGCCGCGGUAAUACGUAGGUAGCAAGCGUUGUCCGGAAUUUGUGGGCGUAAAGAACUCGCAGUCGGUUUCUUAAGUCUGAUGUGAGCGACGCCGGCGCAACCGGUGAGUGUCAUUGGAAAGGGGCGUGAGGGUGUGAGGAAGAGGACAUGUGAAUGUCACGUGUAGCGAUGAAAUGCGUAGAGAUGUGCAGGAAGACCAGGUGCGAAGGCGACUCUGUGCGCGGGAGCUGAGGGUGAGGAGCGACAGCGUGGGGAGGGAGCAGGAUUGGGUCCCCUGGUGGUCCACGCCGUAAACGAUGAGUGCUAAGUGUUAGGGGGUUUCCGCCCCUUAGUGCUGCCGCUAACGCAAUAAGCACUCCGCCUGGGGAGUACGGUCGCAAGACUGAAACUCAAAGGAAUUGACGGGGGCCCGCACAAGCGGUGGAGCAUGUGGUUUAAUUCGAAGCAACGCGAAGAACCUUACCAGGUCUUGACAUCCUCUGACAAUCCUAGAG
rnacentral:rRNA from 1 species